AGUGGUCCUGCUGCAAGUAGAGCGGCUGUUGAUAUCCUCCUGGGUCGAGGUUCAACCCGUCCGAUGACUGUUGCAUAUUGCCGGUCUGCAUCAUCUGCGAAAGCGAUUCGAACGAGUCCGUGAAACCCGAGAACGGUCACGUG